GGCUCGGUAGCUUCGUUGGGAAAGCACUCGUCUAGCAUACAAGAGUCGUUGGUUCGAAUCCCAUCUGAGCAC
rfam:Aedes aegypti strain Liverpool supercont1.1480 genomic scaffold, whole genome shotgun sequence.